UUUGUACUCCCUCCGUCCCAUAUUAAGUGACAAAAUACUACAUGUAUCUAGAUGCACUUUACAUACAUAUUUAGACACAUUUGAGUCACUUAAUAUGGGACGGAGGGAGUACUAA
rfam:Brachypodium distachyon strain Bd21 chromosome 4, whole genome shotgun sequence.